rnacentral:lncRNA from 1 species
GGCAAAGAUUUUGAAAAGCUGAAAACACUAAGCAGUUUGGUUCAUUAAGCCUAAGCAAAGAAUCCAAGACAAUCGAAGAGAGGUCAGCCAUCCACCCACCAGUGCUAAUCUGUAGCCAUGUUGCAGUGUCUAGGAGGAGAAAGGGAUUGAUUCUCCGCUGUGACUCUGGAUCUGCAGCCGACUGUGUUGAAAUAGGAGCACCUCACAGAGCAUUGAUUCAACUACGUCGGAAGAAGAACAUGCCAUUUUGUAGUUUGCCAAAUGAAGUACAGCUCCAACUCUGCCAGACCACAAUCUAUCGAGAGGCUGGAAAAACUACCAUCUCUGACCACUUAAAUUCUCAUUUCCUUGUAUUCAUCACAUUUAAGAGUUUCUCCUGGAGUGAUUUCUCAGUGCAAUGUGGUUCAUCCAAAAGUCCUUCUGAGUCAAGAGAUUUUCCUGGAAGGCAGAGAGGUUGAUAUCCACAUAAUUUGAAGAGAUAGACAGGCUGCUGAGACCAGAGAUCUUUCAGUGUGCCUCCAGGAAACACAAGGAAGACAAUGGAGAAUCAGACCAACCUGUCCCCGCCUACGUCCUCGGCACUACCUUCUUAGUGCUUUGAGAAUUAAUCAAAGUAUAAGCAGUCUUGAAUCAAAUCAGAUCCUUGAAUCUGAACCAGACUCUAAUCUGGCCUUGCUCACAUGCUCCAUGAAUAUAAAGAACUG